rnacentral:rRNA from 1 species
GAUGAACGCUGGCGGCGUGCCUAAUACAUGCAAGUCGAGCGAACAGACGAGGAGCUUGCUCCUCUGACGUUAGCGGCGGACGGGUGUGUAACACGUGGAUAACCUACCUAUAAGACUGGGAUAACUUCGGGAAACCGGAGCUAAUACCGGAUAAUAUAUUGAACCGCAUGGUUCAAUAGUGAAAGACGGCUGUGCUGUCACUUAUAGAUGGAUCCGCGCCGCAUUAGCUAGUUGGUAAGGUAACGGCUUACCAAGGCAACGAGGCGUAGCCGAACUGAGAGGAUGGUCGCCCACACUGGAGGUGGAACGCGGACAAGGCUCCUACGGGAGGCACCAGUAUGGUAUCGGCCGCAGUGGGCGGAAGCUUGACGGAACAACGCCGAGUGUGUGGUAGAAGUCUUCGGAUCGUGAAGCUCUGUUAUUGGGGAUGAACAGAUGUGUAAGUAACUGUACCCGUCUUGACGGUACCUAGUCAGGAAGCAACGGCUAACUACGUG